UACGUAGGGGGGCAAGCGUUGUCCGGAUUUAUUGGGCGUAAAGAGCGUGUAGGCGGUUCGGUAGGUCCGUUGUGAAAACUCGAGGCUCAACCUCGAGACGCCGAUGGAAACCAUCGAACUAGAGUCCGGAAGAGGAGAGUGGAAUUCCUGGUGUAGCGGUGAAAUGCGCAGAUAUCGGGAGGAACACCUGUGGCGAAAGCGGCGCACUGGACCAUAACUGACGCUGAGGCGCGAAAGCUAGGGGAGCAAACAGG
rnacentral:rRNA from 1 species